rnacentral:ribozyme from 13 species
AGAGUAAGAUGAAGAAGAAGAAGAAGAAGCAACGGAAGAAAGGGACUUUGAAGAGUCCUUUUGAUCGGUUUCUCUUUUUUUCCACUUUCUCUCUCCUUUUGUCAUCUCUAACUUCGGGGAAGCAGAUCCAAAGAG